AAAUAUUUGUUUUUGUGUUUUACCUGUAUGUUCAGACUCUAUGGAAUAGUCUGUUUGUUGUUGUAUGUGAUCUUAUGCGUUUGAUAUUUCAUAGCCAAGGGCUAGUUCAAGGACUGCAAGAAAUAGAUAAACUGAAAUCUCAGGUACAAGAUGUGCACGUGCCGCUGGAGGUCUUUGACUAUAUUGACCAAGGGCGAAACCCACAG